CAGUGAGUAGUUUAAUUAAAAUUUUAAUUUUGGAUAUUAAAGAUAUUUGUUUCUCUCUGA
rnacentral:tRNA from 1 species